GUAGGGAAUAUUGCACAAUGGAGGAAACUCUGAUGCAGCGACGCCGCGUGAGUGAUGAAGGCCUUCGGGUCGUAAAGCUCUGUCGCAGGGGAAUAACACAAUGAAGGUACCCUGUAAGAAAGGAUCGGCUAACUUCGUGCCAGCAGCCGCGGUAAGACGAGGGAUCCUAGCGUUGUUCGGAAUCAUUGGGCGUAAAGCGGAUGUAGGUGGCUAUGUAAGUCAGAUGUGAAAGCCUGGGGCUCAACCCCAGAAGUGCAUUUGAUACUGCGUAGCUUGAGUGUCGGAGAGGUUACUAGAAUUGUUGGUGUAGUGGUGAAAUACGUAGAUAUCAACAGGAAUACCGGAGGCGAAGGCGGGUAACUGGACUGUAACUGACGCUGAGGCGCGAAAGUGUGGGGAGCAAACAGGAUUAGAAACCCCUGUAGUCC
rnacentral:rRNA from 1 species